CGGGAAGUAGCUCAGCUUGGUAGAGCACUUGGUUUGGGACCAAGGGGUCGCAGGUUCGAAUCCUGUCUUCCCGACCA
rnacentral:tRNA from 658 species